UACGUAGGGUGCAAGCGUUAAUCGGAAUUACUGGGCGUAAAGCGUGCGCAGGCGGUUAUGUAAGACAGGUGUGAAAUCCCCGGGCUUAACCUGGGAACUGCAUUUGUGACUGCAUAGCUAGAGUACGGUAGAGGGGAGUGGAAUUCCGCGUGUAGCAGUGAAAUGCGUAGAUAUGCGGAGGAACACCGAUGGCGAAGGCAAUCCCCUGGACCUGUACUGACGCUCAUGCACGAAAGCGUGGGGAGCAAACAGG
rnacentral:rRNA from 1 species